UGGAUGGUUCCAGGAAAUGAUUAAUGAGCUGGUUCGAAUGUUAUUUUAAUUGAAAAUUACAUGAGAAUAGGUUAUUAUAUGCCUAGGAGGAUCUAGCCAGCAUUGAAAGGGUUACUCAGUUGAUUUAACUGUUAGCCAAGGUUUCAUGGCUGGGCUGUGUGAAGUUUUGUAGCUUUUGUAGGUUUAUUGUCACUUAUUGCAUUUAAUAU